rnacentral:lncRNA from 1 species
AUUCAUCUUCUUCAAAUCAAAAUCAUUCAUGUUCUCAAAUUCAUCCAAAUCAAAAGUCUGGAAACACAGUGUUGGUCGAAAUCGGAAAAGAAGAUGAAGUUCAAAGAGGUUGAAAUCAAAAUCAAAAUUCUGAAAAACGCAAGAUUGAGGAUGAAUUGAAGAUCUGCAUCGAAAAAGAGGAAGAAAAGGGAAAAAUCUAAAACCCUAGAAGUUUUCCCCUAUUAUGAUUUUGGGGUUUGGGAUGAAGUUCAUGAUGAAUUUCUGAAUUCAGGAUUGGGUUUGGCACUGCUUUUUCAGUAGAAACAAAAAAAUCAAUGAGAAAUAUUGUUGAAAUGGGAAAACAACCCAUUUGGGUUUGAAGAAGAUGAACAGGGGGAAUAAGAAGAAGAACAACCACGAUUAAGAAGAUGAACACAAAUUUGAUGUUACUGAAGACUAGUCGCUGUUGAAUGAACUCUACAUUAAUACUGUUAAAAUUUUAGUGUUAUUUCAGGAAUAUGGUGGUCAGAAAGAGAGGAAUAUAGUGGUUACAAGGAGAAAAGAUGAACACUUUGUGUGGAGAAAAGAUGAUGGAGAGAUCUGAUGAAAUCAACAAAUUAAUUAACAGAUAUGAAGGAGAGAUUCUUUCAAAAAAAUAA